rnacentral:lncRNA from 1 species
UCUUCAGACAUUUUGUCAUGUCUUAAGACAUUCUGUCAUGUCUCAAGACAUUUUGCCAUGUCUGAAGACAUCUUUCCAUGUCUUAAGAGAUAAGCAAUAUUAUAAAAGUUCAGCUAUAACGUCGAGAUACUAAAUUGUUCAUACCCCUCUAGGAUGACAUGGUAAUAGAUAUCAAUCAUCACUUUAUUAGACUUGACCGGCAGUAAAAUCCUUAGUUUAGUGGAGCGUCCGUUCGUCGUGUGGGAUCUUCCUUUUCGCAGCCAAGUCCGGUCAGAAUGGAGACAUGAAAACCGAUGAAACGUGUAUAAAGAAUAUCAUUUUCUUUUUACGUCAUGACCACGCCGGUAAAAGGGAUUUAGUAAAGGGCAUAGUAUAACGUAUACAUAUUGAUAACAACUCAA